UAUAAGAGAUUUUGAGUUUUUACUUGCAACGUUUGACCACUCGUCUUAUUCAAAAAUUUUUGAAAUUAUUAUUUAUUUUAUUUGUGACUUACUUUAUUAUCUACAGUACUUUAAGCAUAACUUUUCGUUUUUUAUAUUUACAAAAAAAAUUGAAUAAGACGAGUGGUCAAACGUUACAAGCAAAAACUCAAAAUCCCUUGUAUC
rnacentral:pre_miRNA from 1 species